rnacentral:tRNA from 1 species
UGGAGGGCAGUGAACAACAGCACACGAGUAGAUUUGGACUACUAAAAGGAACAAAUAAGCUCCACCUCCAU